UACAGAGGGUGCGAGCGUUAAUCGGAGUUACUGGGCGUAAAGGGUGCGUAGGCGGCUUCUUAAGUCUGGUGUGAAAUCUCCCGGCUCAACUGGGAGGGUGCGCCGGAUACUGAGGGGCUAGAGUGUGGGAGAGGAAAGUGGAAUUCCUGGUGUAGCGGUGAAAUGCGUAGAUAUCAGGAGGAACACCGGUGGUGUAAACGGCUUUCUGGACCAUAACUGACGCUGAGGCACGAAAGCGUGGGUAGCAAACAGG
rnacentral:rRNA from 1 species